rnacentral:rRNA from 2 species
CCGGAUCUCAGAUCAAG